rnacentral:rRNA from 1 species
AGUUUGAUCCUGGCUCAGAUUGAACGCUGGCGGCAUGCUUUACACAUGCAAGUCGAACGGCAGCGCGGGGCAACCUGGCGGCGAGUGGCGAACGGGUGAGUAAUAUAUCGGAACGUACCCAGAAGUGGGGGAUAACGUAGCGAAAGUUACGCUAAUACCGCAUACGAUCUACGGAUGAAAGUGGGGGACCUUCGGGCCUCAUGCUUUUGGAGCGGCCGAUAUCUGAUUAGCUAGUUGGUGAGGUAAAGGCUCACCAAGGCGACGAUCAGUAGCUGGUCUGAGAGGACGACCAGCCACACUGGGACUGAGACACGGCCCAGACUCCUACGGGAGGCAGCAGUGGGAAUUUUGGACAAUGGGGCAACCCUGAUCCAGCAAUGCCGCGUGAGUGAAGAAGGCCUUCGGGUUGUAAAGCUCUUUUGUCAGGGAAGAAACGGUGAGGGCUAAUAUCCCUUGCUAAUGACGGUACCUGAAGAAUAAGCACCGGCUAACUACGUG